CGGGGAGAUGCCAUAAUCAGGAAGGUGGUUUCCCCAAGGUGAGGUGGAUCCAUUGCACUGUGAAUGCGCAUGAUUUCUACACAUUAAAAAAAACUUUUUUAAGAUGCUG
rnacentral:snRNA from 1 species